rnacentral:rRNA from 1 species
AGAGCGAACGCUGGCGGCAGGCUUAACACAUGCAAGUCGAGCGGGCGUAGCAAUACGUCAGCGGCGGACGGGUGAGUAACGCGUGGGAACGUACCUUUUGGUUCGGAACAACACAGGGAAACUUGUGCUAAUACCGGAUAAGCCCUUACGGGGAAAGAUUUAUCGCCGAAAGAUCGGCCCGCGUCUGAUUAGCUAGUUGGUGAGGUAACGGCUCACCAAGGCGACGAUCAGUAGCUGGUCCUGAGAGGAUGAUCAGCCACAUUGGGACUGAGACACGGCCCAAACUCCUACGGGAGGCAGCAGUGGGGAAUAUUGGACAAUGGGCGAAAGCCUGAUCCAGCCAUGCCGCGUGAGUGAUGAAGGCCUUAAGGGUUGUAAAGCUCUUUCACCCACGACGAUAAUGACGGUAGUGGGAGAAGAAGCCCGGCUAACUCGUGCCAGCAGCCGC